AAAGCUUUAAGUUAAAUAAACUAUAAACCUUCAAAGUUUAAAAUAAAUUAUUUUAAGCUUUA
rnacentral:tRNA from 1 species